rnacentral:SRP_RNA from 1 species
CCUGGGUGCUGUGACACGUGCCUGUAGUCCCAGCUACUGGGGAGGCUGAGGUGGGAGGAUUGCUUGGGCCUAGGAGUUCUGGGCUGUAGUGCACUAUGCCGAUUGGGUGUCCACACUAAGUUCGGCAUCAAUAUGGUGCCCUCCCGGGAGCCGGGGACCACCAGGUUGCCUAAGGAGGGUGAACCCGCCCAGGUCAGAAACGGAGCAGGUCAAAACUCCUGUUCUGAUCAGUAGUGGCAUCGCGAUGGUGAAUAGCCUCUGCACUCCAGCCUGGGCAAUAUAGCGAGACCCUGUCAAU